GUAGUCUCGCACAGAUGCAUAUCAAUAAGCGGAGGAAAAGAAACUAACAAGGAUUCCCCUAGUAACGGCGAGUGAAGCGGGAAGAGCUCAAAUUUGAAAUCUUAAAGGGUUUCCCUUUACGAAUUGUAGUUUAAAGAAGUGUUUUCUGUUGAGGUUUUGGUAAAAGUUCUUUGGAAUAGGGACAUCAUAGAGGGUGAGAAUCCCGUAUUUGACCUUUACUUUCAACUUUGUGAUACACUUUCAAAGAGUCGGAUUGUUUGGGAUGCAGUCCAAAAUGGGUGGUAAAUUUCAUCUAAAGCUAAAUAUUGGCGAGAGACCGAUAGCGAACAAGUACCGUGAGGGAAAGAUGAAAAGAACUUUGAAAAGAGAGUUAAACAGUACGUGAAAUUGUCAAAAGGGAAGCGUUUGACACCAGUGUUGUUUUUCUGAAAAUCAAUUAAAGAACUGUUUAUGCUAAGCUGUUUAGACUUUAUCAGCUAAUCUGUUUAGUUUUGAGCUUUUCUUUAAUGCACUUUUCAGUUAACAAGUCAACAUCAAUUUCUUUUGCUGUAAAAAAGCUUGAGGAAGGUGGCUUGAGAUUCGUCUUAAGUGUUUAUAGCCUCUUGCCUAUGCAGUCGGAGAGAUUGAGGUCUGCAGCGUAGAUCCUUCGGGGCUAAAUGCAUUUGUGCUAAGUUAUAGCAUUUUAUAGACAACUUGUUGACUACUGAUUUGUCUUGUAGCUUACUCGCUUAUGUUAUUUUACCUACGCUUAGGAUGUUGAUCUGUAGUGCGUGCGC
rnacentral:rRNA from 1 species